rnacentral:rRNA from 1 species
GUGCCAGCCGCCGCGGUAAGACAGAGGGUGCAAGCGUUGUUCGGAAUUACUGGGCGUAAAGCGCGCGUAGGUGGUUUUGUGUGUCUGGUGUGAAAGCCCUUGGCUCAACCAAGGAAGUGCGCCGGAAACUGCAAAACUCGAGUUUGGGAGAGGGUGGUAGAAUUCUCAAUGUAGAGGUGAAAUUCGUAGAUAUUGGGAGGAACACCGGUGGCGAAGGCGACCACCUGGACCAACACUGACACUGAUGUGCGAAAGCGUGGGUAGCAAACAGGAUUAGAUACCCCCGUAGUCC